rnacentral:tRNA from 1 species
UCCCAGAUAGUUCAGCGGUAGAACACCUCGCUGUUAACGAGGGGGUCCCUGGUUCGAAUCCAGGUCUGGGAG